UACAGAGGGUGCGAGCGUUAAUCGGAAUUACUGGGCGUAAAGCGUGCGUUAGACGGUUAUUUAAGUCGGGUGUGAAAGCCCCGGGCUCAACCUGGGAAUUGCAUUCGAGACUGAAUAGCUAGGGUACGGUAGAGGGAAGCGGAAUUUCCGGUGUAGCGGUAGAAAUGCGUAGAUAAUCGGAAGGAACAUCAGUGGCGAAAGCGGCUUCCUGGACCAGUACCGAACGUUCAGGCGCGAAAGCGUGGGGAGCGAAUCGGAUU
rnacentral:rRNA from 1 species